rnacentral:rRNA from 1 species
GUCCACGCUGUAAACGGUGGGUACUAGGUGUGGGGUCCAUUCCACGGGUUCCGUGCCGUAGCUAACGCUUUAAGUACCCCGCCUGGGGAGUACGGCCGCAAGGCUAAAACUCAAAGGAAUUGACGGGGCCCCGCACAAGCGGCGGAGCAUGCGGAUUAAUUCGAUGCAACGCGUAGAACCUUACCUGGGUUUGACAUGGAUCGGGAGUGCUCAGAGAUGGGGUGUGCCUCUUUUGGGGUCGGUUCACAGGUGGUGCAUGGCUGUCGU